rnacentral:rRNA from 1 species
CCAGACUCCUACGGGAGGCAGCAGUGAGGAAUAUUGGUCAAUGGGCGGAAGCCUGAACCAGCCAAGUCGCGUGAGGGAAGAAGGCCCUGCGGGUCGCAGACCUCUUUGGACGGGGAGCAAGGCCGCCGACGUGUCGGCGGAAGGAGAGUACCCGUAGAACAAGCAUCGGCUAACUCCGUGCCAGCAGCCGCGGUAAUACGGAGGAUGCGAGCGUUAUCCGGAUUUAUUGGGUUUAAAGGGUGCGCAGGCGGCACGGCAAGCCGGCGGUCAAAUCGCGGGGCUCAACCCCGGACUGCCGUUGAAACUGCAUCCCUUGAGUGCGCGAGAAGUACGCGGAAUGCGUGGUGUAGCGGUGAAAUGCAUAGAUAUCACGCAGAACUCCGAUUGCGAAGGCAGCGUACCGGCGCCCAACUGACGCUCAUGCACGAAAGCGUGGGUAUCGAACAGGAUUAGAUACCCGGGUACA